rnacentral:rRNA from 1 species
AGAGAGAGACAUGCGCGCAUAUCAAUAAGCGGAGGAAAAGAAACUAACUAAGGAUUCCCUCAGUAACGGCGAGUGAAGCGGGAAGAGCUCAAAUUUGAAAUCUUCAAGGUUUUACCUUGACGAAUUGUAGUUUAAAGAAGUGUUUUCUGUUGGAGUUUUGGUAAAAGUUCUUUGGAAUAGGACAUCAUAGAGGGUGAGAAUCCCGUAUUUGACCAUUAUUUUCAGCUGUGUGAUACACUUUCAAAGAGUCGGAUUGUUUGGGAAUGCAGUCCAAAAUGGGUGGUAAAUUUCAUCUAAAGCUAAAUAUUGGCGAGAGACCGAUAGCGAACAAGUACCGUGAGGGAAAGAUGAAAAGAACUUUGAAAAGAGAGUUAAACAGUACGUGAAAUUGUCAAAAGGGAAGCGUUUGACACCAGUGUUGUUUUCUCGAAAAUCAAUUAAAAAAGGCAGGAUUUUGUGUUGUAUUGACUUUAUCAGCUUUCUACACUCUUUUCUUGUCUUUUUUAAUGCACUUUUCGUUUAACAAGUCAACAUCAAUUUCUUUUGUUGUAAAAGGGUCAUUGGAAGGUGGCUUUCUUUUCGGAGAAAGUGUUUAUAGCCUUUGGCCUCUGCAAUCGGAGAGAUUGAGGUCUGCAGCGUAGAUCCUUCGGGGUUAGAUACAUUUGUGCUAAGUUAUAGCCUUUCAUAGACAACUUGUUGACUAUGAUCAGUCAUGUAGCUUACUCGCUUGUGCUAUUUUACCUACGCUUAGGAUGUUGAUGUGAUACUGCGAGCA